rnacentral:tRNA from 1 species
GUGGUAGCUCAGCUAGUAAGAGCACUGCUCUUCCAGAAGACCUGGGUUCAAGUCCCAGCACCCACA